UAACCUGUUUUUCUCGUGCUGCAGGAUGGGAUGGGAUGAUAUAUUGAACUACUAUUGGAUAACUAGAACGUCCCGUCCCGUCCGUUUUCUAGUUAUCCACUAGUAGUUCAAGAAAUCCUCCCGUCCUGUCCUGUGGACGUC